UGGGCGCGCGCGCGCGGGCAGGGCGUGGGCCGGGCGGGAGCGGACGGCCGGGCGCGCCCGGGACACCUGGCCGGGCCACCUGCGUCACCGUCCCCACCUGGCCGGCCGGCGCUCACGUGACCCCGCGGCCGGGCCGGCUCAGCUCCCCGGGCCGCAGGUGUCCGCCCCCGGACCGCCCACCCCGCCCGCUGCGGCCCGGCCGGCGUCGCCCGCGGGCUUGGGGCGUGCGUGGCCGGGCAGUGACCCUGAGCGGGCUCCCGCCUUCCUUCCCGGCCUGGCUAGCCCGCCUCCUCCUCCAGGAAGCCCUCCUGGAAGCCGACCGGCGCAGAGGGGAACCCGAUCUUCUCAAGGCAGGAAAGGCGCCACCUUCUGGAUUCGUUCAAAAGUGCGGCCGGAGGGCGGCCCAGCACCGCACAAAACACUCUUCGCGGUUGUUGAUGUGAGGCGUUGGGGGUCCGGGAGGCCAUGGUCGAGAAGGAAUACUUGAGAGGCGCCUGGCUGGCCCAGCGGGGAGAGCGUGUGACCCUGGGGUGGUGAGUCCGAGCCCCGGGUUGGGUGUAGGGAUUACUUAAAUACAGUUUCAAAAACUUAAAAGAAAAAAAAUUCUUUAGAUGUUUUUGGUGCAAAAACAGGCCGUGUUAUUAAAACACGGGGACAGGCGCGGUGGGCAGAAAGAGCUGUCCUGGGGCUGUGAGAAGUGACUGGUUACAUACUUUCAGGUUGGGAGGGGGUUAGGGACUGGGAAAGCCUCUAAGGACUUUGGAAGCAAGGUGUCCACGACCUUGAGGGGCCAGCUGCUGUUAGGAUAAGGCCAUUUACUCCUGUCUAGUAAACCCUUAGUCAUGAGACCCUUUAGAUGUCUAUCAGUGGGCCACGUGCUUGGAGGCUGGUGGCCAGCAUGUAUCUUGGGGGGAUAAAGGAAGGCAUUUUUACAGGAUCCUGGAGGUCAGGCUAAUGUCAAGCCAAGGUUGCCCUUUGCCUUUUUAGCACAUUGACAUCGAGGCAGCUGAGCUCCUCGGGAAGGUCGCUCUGCCUGUCUCAGGUACUUGUCAGUGGGCUGCAAAGGGACUUUAACCUUUUCUGUAUUUCUUCCGCCUUUGUUUCCCACACCAGUGGUUUUCAUCACCCCCAUUUUACAGGUAGGGCCACUGAGGCUUGGGAAGGAGGGCGCUUGCUAGCCUGUGCAAAGUCAAGCCCAGCCUGCAAGCCUGGCCUUUCCGGGUCUUGUCCACGGUGGGUCCCCCGGGCGGAGGCUGCCACAGAGGCUGAUUUCAGGAAUCAGGAUCCUUAGUCCUGCCGGAGGUGCCAGGGGCUGGGAGAGGUGACCUGUCGUUCCGCCAGGCCGGGGCGGAAUGUCCUUUGUCACCCAGCCUCCCCAACCCCCAGCCCCACACCAACCCAGGGUGUGGCAACGGCAGAGUGCUCCCGGUUCGCCCCUGCUCGGGAACCGCCUGUGCCCAUCCAGCAGGGGCAGCGGCCUCCACUUCCCCGUGACGCCCACCCCUCUUGUUCACACUCUGCCUGUGCAGCCCCCCUCCCCGCGCCUUUUCAGGGGGAAAGCCCGCGUGACUCUUUCCCAGGCUCCCCAUCCUGCGGGGGGCCCAGCCCUGCUCAGGAGAGCUGGAGCCCUCUCCGUGGGAGAGACAUCCUCUUGCCCCACUGAGCCGGUGCCAGGCCGCCUGCCGAAACCUCAGGAGCCGUUGUGUGUUUGUGCCGAGUCACGGGGUCUGCCUCUCGUCCCUGCUCUGUUCCUCCUGCAGCUGGUGUCCCAGAAAGAGAAGGCUCGUGGAGGACAGCCGCGGCGCCCUUGGAAGCCCCUGGCGCGAGGGGCGUGCUCGUUACGGCAGCACGCCCUGGUGAGCCCUGACCGUGCCACCUCCCUUCUUCCUGAUGUCACAGCCCUUCAUCUGGGGCCAGCCCAGGGUUCAUCUGUAGCAAGACGCCUUCUCCUUCCUGCUUUCCUUCCUCUUUCGCUUGGAGGGCAGCAAGGAGCCGCUCAGGUGGGGGCAACGGGCCGAAAUGAUCAGAUCUGCUGGAAAGACCCCUCAGGCAGCAGAGGAGAGGGCAGGGAGGACGGCUGAAGCAGACACCCUGAGCCCCAACCCAGACCAAGGAAGCUGAUGUCUUGCCUCUGGAAUGCUUUCAGGGCGGGGAGCUCACCCCCUCCCAAUACGGAUCGUUGCAUUGUCUGCCUUCAUCACGUUUCUUAGACGUUCCUGGCGUGACGUGGUAUCCAGAUUUUUCAUCAUCCUGGCAUGUCCCCCCCCCCCCCCCCCCCCAAGACACUUCAAAAUGUGCCAAAAUCCUUCUCAAAAUGUGGUCUUCGGAACAGAACCCGGUACCACGCCAGUAUAAGAAAACGGGGAAAGACUCACCUCCUCUCUUCUGGAUAUGAUACCUCUGUUAAUACAGCCUCAUCCUGCUGCAGCCCUUACACGUAUCCAUCCCACAGCACAGAGCCCGAGGCCCUAUAUGCAGCAGGGGCUCAGCCAGUGCCUGGUGACUCACUGAUGUGAUCUGAGGUCCCAGGACUGAGCCCCAGAGAUGGCGAGUGCCAGCCUCCUUCUGACCUGUCUCCAGGUUCCCUUUUCCGGAAAGGCCCAUUGCUAAAUUUCCAUUUGAAUGCACUGGGACGUGCAUUUGGGUGAAUUUUCAGACCACCUUGGUGCCUGUGCUGACCCCAGGCCUUGGUGCGGUGGGCAAGGUGCAGGGGCGUGUCAGCCCGCAGGGCACAGUCUAGCCCGGGGGCAUAGGCCCGCCCUCCCCUGGCAGCUCCCUCUCCGGGGCUGGGUGAGGGGGUGCCACAGCCUCACAGGGCCGACUUGGCAUUUUCUUGGGUGUCGUGGUUUGAAGGGUCCCGCCCAGCACACCUGUGGCCGGCCCAAUGCUUGCCCGGCGUCGGGGCUCCCAUCCCCUGCCACGGGGUGUAGGUGCCACCUGGGGGACCCAGAUUGGCCACGGGAAGGUGCCCAAUGGGGCCGUCAGUGCCAUCUGUGUGUGUUUUGGGUAGGGGGUGCCGAUGGCUGACCCCUGUGGGUGGACAGCUUCUGGGCAGAGCCCUGGGAAAGGUGGGGCGCUGCUGCCCUCCAGAGGCCAUCUUAGGUACUGCACCCACAGGCCCAGCCUGUAGGAAGGGGAGCUGGUGGUUCUUGGGCCUUGGGCCGGGGGGAGACGAGGGCCGGUGGGUGCCUGACCCCCACUCGGUGCUUUCCUAUAAAACGCAUCUUCAGAACCCUGCUUGGUCAUUGCAGGGUUAAUCCCCACCCCAGCCCUUCCUGCCCAGUACCUACUUGGCCCCACCAGCACCCCGAAUCUGGCUCUGUCCCCAAACUGGGGGGCUCUGGGGGGCAUCUCCUUGUCUCCAGCUGGCUCAGUGUGUGGUUGGGGCCAGGUGACCCGGAGCGAGUGGCUUGCCUUCCCCGGGCCCCUACUGUCUCAGUCGCAAGCUGGGGGUUAAUGAUGAUCGUCUAAGUAGUGUAGACCUGGUUCUCAGGAGGGGCCUGGAAGGGAGCGGCCCCGGGGUCAUAAGUGGGGGGAGAAGGACCCCAGGGCUGCCCGCAGGGGUGAGUCUCUUCAACUCUCUGCGCCCUGUGGCUGAGACCACGAGUGCCGGGGGCCAGGGGACUCCGUGGCCCUCCUUCCCCACUUCGGGCCUCCGGGCUGGCCCCGCCCCUGGCUGACAGAUGAAGGCUGUUUAUCUCAUGAAACCCCGCGAGGCCCUCUUCAGGGCCCCCCAACAUCAAAAAUAAGGACCCCAGUGUUUGCUCCCCGAAGCUCAGGGCCUUUGCACAUGCCAUGGUUUCUGCCUGGGAUUCUCUUCCUCGGCAGUCUUCGCGGAGCCGUCCCCCGAUCCUGCACACCUUUGCCUCAAGCACACCUUCUCAACCAGGCCUUUGCUCACCACCCCACAGAGGAAGGAAGGCACUCCUCACCAAACCCAUUACUCCUGGUUCCUUGAGAUGUAAGUAAGACAACGUCAGAGUAGAACAGGCUGGGCCCUAAAUCCAGUGCUCAGUGUCCUCAUACAAAGGGGGACAUUAGACACAGAACAGAGAAGGCCAAGGGACAACAGAGGCGAGGGCUGGAGUGACGUGGUCACAGGCCGAGGGACAUGAGGAUGGCCGGCAGCACUAGAGGCUGGAAGAGACGAGAAAGACCCUGCCCUGGAGCCCCCAGAGGGCAGGCGUUCAGACCUCCCGCCUCCAGACGUGACAGGACCCGCUUCUGUGGCUUAGAGCAGCCCAGGGAGCAGAUUCAGGCAGCUGUCUCCCUGUCUCCUCUGCCCUCCGGUGAGUCCUCUGCUUUGCUCAUCUGUUUCCCGGUGUCCCUCUGGGCCUUGGACGCCCGCUUGUGGGGGUGGGAGCGGGCUGAUCUGCAGAAUGGUGGCCGGUCGGCCCGGGUUUCACGGGCUUUCGUGUGGCGGGCCUGGAAGGACUUGGAAGGGUCUGGAAGGGCCCAGAGGGGGCUGGAAGGGUCUGGAAGGGGCUGGAAGGGUCUGGAAGGGCCCAGAGGGGGCUGGAAGGGUCUGGAAGGGGCUGGAAGGAGCUGACAGGUCCUGGAAGGACCUGGAAGGGGCUGGCAGGGCCUGGAAGGGGCUGGAAGGGCCUGGAAGGGCCCAGAAGGGGCCAGAAGGGCCUGGAAGGGCCUGGAAGGGGCUGGGGCAGUCGGCCGGAGCUCACCCCGCACACCCCAGACUCCCUACUGGCCCGAGGGUUUUUUAGCCUUGAGAAUUGAAAGGCAGCUGCCGUGUGGCCCUGGUUCCUGCCUUUCCCAUGAAAGCCUUGGAGGUGAUGCCACUGUCCCAUCUCUGGGCCAUCGCAGGAGGCCACAGGCCGCCUCAGCUCCUACAGCCAGCGUCCCAGGCCUGGAGCUGCACAUCGGUGUGUGUGCCUUUGGAAGGUAACGUGUGGGUCAGCCUGGAGCUCAGGAAUGAGGGGCCUUCCCCAUGCAGCGUCCCCAGUGGGGGGAGGAUGUGCACCCCCAACCCCGUGACUGCCCGGGUUUCCCUCUAGGGAAGUCGAUGCUCAAGUCUGCAGGACCCCUUUUCCGUGGCCUGAGGGCACCCAGUGCCCCUGGACGUCUUGCUCUGAGACUUCCAGGGGCCGCUGGGGCUGCAGCCCAGAGAGAUGAUGCCCUGGGGCCGGCGGCCCCCCAGGAGGCCUUUCGGCCCGACCAUCUGGGUGUCUGGUGCCGGGGCCGAGGACAAGCAAGGCCGCGGGGCGUGUCUACGUCCCCUUUCAGGGCCGAGCGCCCAGUGCCCGUGGCCUGCCCCCCUCCCUUCCUGGGAAUGUGCCGGGGGGAGGGAAGGGGCACAACCGUGUCCUUUAUUCUCUGGGCCCGGGCACCGGGCUGACCGACCCCUCGCUGCGGGGCCCUGUGUCCAGCCGGCGGGCAGCUGGGAAAGGCCUCGCUGAUCUCGGAGGACGCUGCGGCCGUGAGUGGGCCUGAGGACAGAGGCUCCUCUGUGCUGGUGAAAGCAGCUCCCAUAAUCACCAACCAGAAAACUGAACAGAAACUACAGGAAGGCGGGGGACAUGGUUCCUGGGAGGAAGAAGCGAGUCGGGAGAGCCCCACAGAUGCACGGCUUUCUUCCAAGAGGCAGAACGCGGUGGUCUGACCCAGCUGGGGGGACAGACGUGGGGUUCAGGGAGGUGGGGGAGGGGGCGGGGACGUCUGGCAGAGGUUCAGAGACGGAGCUCCAGGAAGCCUCCAGAAACGCUACUCUGUGCACACGCAGAGGGAGGUCCCAGGAAGCCAGGCACAGAGCAGUUACCAGGACCAACAGCACUCAGUGUCCACGCAGGGCCUGGGGGCUUUAAAUGCCACUCACCCAGAAUGAAGAGGCCUCGUGGCUGCGGGGCAUUUGAUGGGGACCAAAGGCCGUAUUUCAGGUGUGAGCUUAGCCUUCAGGUGUGAAGGCUGCUGUAUGCCUGAGCCGAUGAGCUGUGCAGUAAGCCUUGAAAAGACCAGGCGGGUCUCUGUCAUCACUUAACGCCCCGUUGGCACAAAACUCAACAUCCUUAAAAAGAACGCCAACAAAAUCUAGGAUCUCAACAACUUAGCAUUUACAAGCUCCAGCACCUGGUGAUUUAAGGAAUCUUUGCCCAAAAGGAUUUAAAGGAAUCUGGGCACAAAAUCAAAAAAAGAAGGUAUGGUGAGUGUAAUCAAAAGGGAAAGAAUAAUAGUCAAAUGCAAAUUCUAAAGACAAAAAUAGACAAUAUAUAAAAGUAAAAGAAACAGUAGCAGCAGAUAAUAUGCUACGGAAGAAAAGAUCCGUGAACUUGAAGCUCGGCCGAUUCGAGUUCCCCGAAAUGAACACCGAGAGAGCAAAGCCUGGAAAAAGCAGGCAGAGGCUUGCUGAUCUGGGCUGAUGUCAAGCAGUCUCACGAUAAUACGUAGAGUCGGAGGCCCCAAAGGGGUGAGGGGCGAGAAUGUCUGUGUGACAAAGUCAUGGCCAAAAAUGUUCCAAGUGUGAGAAAAUCCUCAAGCCCACAGAUCCGAGAGCCUCAGGAGUACAAAGAGAGCCCCACCGUGGCACCUGGCACCUCAUAAUCCGAUGACUAGGAACCACGGCGGAGAGAAAGCCUUGACGCCUUAAGAGAAUCAAGACACGAAUCACGGCUGAGUCAUCACUGGAAACCCCGUGAGCCUGGGGAACGGAGCCCCGUCCCCGGCGUGUUAAAACCAUCUACAACCAAGAUGUCCGUUUCUGGUGAAGGUGUCCUUCAAAACUGAAAGUGAGAGACUGAACGUACUGACAACGGCCAGAUCGUACGUAGAGACAGGAGUCUGACCUCUGACCCACAGUGUGAGAGAAAAACCCAGAAAGUCAAACAGGAACCCCCGGAACGAUGAGCCCAGAGGGGCCAGGACUCGAUCCAUCACCGGCGGCCUCCCUACGUUUUGUCCCCACCUCCGGCUCUGGAGCAGCCAGAGGAAGCCGCGUGCGCCCCCAACCAAUCACGUGGGGUGCCUGCUUCUGGCCAGUGCCUCGACUCCCUGGUGCCAUCUGGGCUCAUCUGGAACUUUCCCUUUUUCCACCGGGAGGCUCCCCAGGCCCCUGCCGUCCUGCGAAUCUCCGCCAAGUCCGGUGCUGUUGGCGGACCCCCUGCUGCACGGAGCUCUGAGUAACGUCCUCUGUCCUCUGACGGGCGGCCUUCCGUCACUCCCAUGGCUUGUGCUUUCACUCACCAGUGGAUGGACACUCAGGUUCUUUCCAGUUUGGGGCGAUUACAGAUAAAGCCGCUGUGGACGUCGGCAUACAGAUCUUUGUGCAGAUGUUGGUUUUUCAGCUCACUCACUGUGUUCUAGAAGCAGGCUCUUGCUCUCUACAGGCUUGAAGGCUUCCCGGAACCUCCUGAGGGGCUCAGGAAUCGGAGGGCCACAAGCCAGGUCCCAGGACAGAAGAGGCAACUCUGUCCUUUAGGGUUUUGGGUGGCCCCAGCCCCCCGCCCCGCGGGGCCUCAGCUGGUGCCCACGUCCCCCUUCUUGUGACCUUAGAAUUCUAUCCUCUUCUGCCCUGGACCCUGGAGCUGACUCUGGCUUCCCUUUCCUGAAUCCAGAAUAAGCCGUGUGGAAGACGUUGCCGGCCACGGUGAGCACAGGUGCCUUUUCCUUCACGGAGACCGCGAUCCUGGCCGGCGACUGCAAGGCCCUUCCCGCGCCAGAACCCCGCCCGGCUCCUCGGACCCCACGAAAGCCACCUUGCGUCGGGCCAUUUUGCCCCGAAUGGGGACACAUCUCGGUUCGGGGAAGACAUUUGCUGCCGCGAGAAAGAAGGUUAACGAUUCUCAAAAUAGCUUCUCUGCAAAUAAGCAACAGGCUCGCUUGGCCCCAGCUGAAUCUGAGGGCAAUUUCAAAAGCAUCUCUUUUCCCAGAAAACAGAUUCCUCAUUGACACAUGUUUCUCCAGUUGAUUCUUGCCCCCCACCCCCUGCCUUUUCCUCCGUCUUCUGUGCAAGGAGCUGGGUUGCAGAGACAAAGUCCGCUUGUCAGCGGCUGGUCCUCUCUGCUCUCCCUUCCUCCGGGCGCCCCGACAACAGGGCUAUUAUCAGAUAGCUCCCUCGUGGCUUGGAGUUUCCUCUCCCCUCAGGGCGAACGAGGAGGAAGGUUGCCAGGCUGGACAAGGACGGGAGGCACCGGAGCCCCGGGGCGGCGAGCUCCGGGAAGGGCCGCGGUGGGGGGCCCCGGCCACUGUCACUCUGUCGCUGGAGUAACUUGGAAGCACAGCCAUUCGUCAGGCUCGUGAUUCGCAUGAUCUGUCCUCCGAGAACGGAAGUGUGUCCCCCAGAGACAGGCCUCUCGCGCUGCCCCCUCGCCUGGAGCUCUGGGGUGAACCCCACAUCUGACCAUCGGGGUCAAGACCUCAGAGACACCUCAUCAGUCACAUCUGGGGGGAAAAUGACCUGGAAACAUUCAAACGCUUCCCCCAACCGACGCCUCCCUGGGGAAACACACUUCACUUGAUGGUAUUAAGAGAAUGCAAAGGCUCAAUGCCCCAGAUUUGGGUCCGGGGAUCUUGUUUCAAGAUCAACUUCUGUUUCUUCCCUUUUGUGGCUACCAGCACUGCCGUGGCAGGGACCCCAGGCCUCCUCUCCCCGUCGCUCCCGUCAGAGCCCGUUCGGGCCCCUCAGAGGCACUGCCGUUCCCAGAAUCCAUGUGGGAACUUGCCUGCAGCGAGGGUCCUUAUAGCAAAUCGUCUAUCCGUCCGUCCAUCCACCCAUCUACGCGUCCACGUGUGCAGCCCAUCUUCUACCGAGAGAGUGUUCAGGCUAGGCCUUGGGGAUUGAGAGGUGAGUCCUGACAUUUCCCAUCUCUGCAGCCCCAAAUCCAGUGCAAGUGCUGAUUUCUGACCAGGGAACAGGUGCAGGGGCCUCUGUGAGUCCCGGGGGGCCGAGAGGUUGCGGGGAAACUCUGGACCAGACACUUCUAUGGCUGCCGGGGGGAAGGCAUCGUCCCCCAGUUCGUCUGUUGGACAUUAAGUCUUGUUUUCUUCCUGCCUCACACCCCUGGGGAGGGCCGUGUGUCGUCUUGGUGAGGGUGGGGGCUGUUCUGCUAGAGAGACAGCUCCUUGAGUGUGCAAGCCAAGCUAUCCACCUCAACUCCAUGCUCUGGUGGAAGGAGAGAGGCCACUGGGCGGACUUCCUGCUGUGAGUCCCCGGAAUUUAGGGGCUGAACCUUGCACUUGAGUGGGUGAAGGUGGGGGGCACGUAAAGGAGGGGCGAGGAGCCCCCCUGAAGCCCCAGGCAUCUGUUCAGUCCCGGUCCACCUGGCCGUCGCCUGGUGGGCAGGCUCAGGUCCCGACUGGGGACAGUGCAAGGACAGCAGGCAUAGCCACUGUGGAGGGCUGGCCGGCGGGGAGGGCUAGUCAGUGGGGAGGUCCGCCCUCGGGAACGGCUGUGUUUAGGAUUGGCCUUAUGGGAUGGGCUUCUCCACCGCCAAGAGACGUCAUACAAGAGUUCCCGGUGGCCGGCUCGGGGCCCAGGUGCAGCUGGAGGCAUCAGGCCUGGAGGUGGACACGCCUGGGGGCCCAAGUGCCUCGGGGGAGACGCACUUAGGGGAGAGCCCGCCUGGAGAUCACCGCUCUCACCGCAGGGCCAUCCAGAGUGGUGGCACCUUCACUGAGAUUGUUUUCUGGGAAAUGCGACUAGCGAGGGUCCCUGCCCUGGCGGUGGUGUUGAGAUGAUGGCCUUGCACGUCUCGCAGCCUGUCCCCGGGGACCCUUGACCCAGGCUGGCGAGCCUUGCCGCUGGCCACGCUCCGACCCCGAGUCCUUCCCCACCCCGGGGGCCUCUGUUGCCCCUCAGUGAAGCUCGCGGGCACCGAGACUUAGAAAAGCACACAGAUUUAUUGCGUAUCAAUCUCAUGUAUAAAUUCAUUGUAGCAUCGGAAAGAUUACAUAUAGUCCUAUUCUACAGCAUUAACCUCCGAUCGGCUGCUCUAGCCUUCAUCUUAAAGACGUUUCUCGACACAAGUACAUCUGUCUUUAUCACAAGCAUCAAAACGAAAUCUGCAGAAUCACUCUCGAUGAUUUGCUACACGGGGUGUCUUUGACUUCACGGUCGUCAGCGAUUUCCGCGUCGAUUAAGAACUGCGCUUUGGCGUGAGCAGUUCUGAGCUCCUAGUCCGGAGGACGUAGACCCUAAUCACGUAAUUCAACAAGUGCAUCUACGGAAUUCUCCUUUUCAUAAAAAUUUCACGAACAGACACAGUAAUGACCGCUAAACACGAGCCAUGCACGGUUUACUGGUAACAGAAGCAAUUUACAAUCAGGGGGACAUGGGACACACACCUGCCUCCUUCUCAAUGGUUUUUUUUUUUUUUAAAAAAAACAUUAUCUGAAAGCCUGACAUUUACACUUGAUUUCUUUUUCAACACUAUACAGUUCUAAAAGAAAAACGAAACAAAAACCCAGAAAACAAACGGAACCGAAUCUGUAAUGGAACAAGGGCAAGUGGGGGGGGGGGGGUCUUGCCAGCAGUUACACAUGCACACGUGAUGUGUUCUGACACGGGGGCUCAGCUUCCCUCGUCUCGGGAACACCGACGGUAGGAAACACACCGAGAGACACCUUGGGAAGUGCUCUGCUCACGAGUGAAUUGCACGAUUGGAAACUCAA